CGGAAACAAUAAAUUUUGAAAUACAUAUAAUAAUUCACGCGUAUUUCAUAUAUAUUUUUAAUUUUUAUGAUUGUAAUACCAAUUUUUUCUGCCCGGGCCUAUACAAAAUAAAAUACAGCAGGCCCAUCUACAGACCAAACCCAUAUUCAAAAAAAACCUAGCCUAAGAAGCAGCAAGCUUCAGCCGCAUGCCCAACAGCAGCCUCCCUAACUGCCGUCGCAUCCUCCGCGCACGUACACCUCUUCCACGGCCUCCAUACCUACGAGAAAAGCGGAUCCAAACAGCAAUAGACGCAACAAAUAAUGAAAUAGGAUUUUUUACUUUUAUUUUGCUGUAAUUUUGGCUAUAAAAAGCCAUCAAAAAUCUGUAAAAUGGGGGGAACCAAUAUUGUAUUGAGAGAAUACUGAAAUACAAAAAUAGGGAGAAAAUAUUGAGAUUACAAAGAGAUUUUUGAAGGUGAAUCGUGUUUAUUUUUUUCCAUUUUUUCCAUUCUUUUUUAUUUUAUUUUUUAUUUAUUUUUAAUUUAAAAUAUAAAGAAGGGAGGAAGGACUUACCUCUCUCGCCGGAUUCGUAUAUAUAUUUAUAUAUAUAAAAAAUAUUUCUCUAAUACAUAUACAUAUUUUUAUAUAUAUAUUGUUAUUAUUUCUUUUUUAGCUUUUAUAUACAUAUAUACGUAUAUACAUUUAUAUUUCUAUUAUAUUUAUAUAUACAUUCUUUUAAAAUUAUUAUAAACAUUUUAUUGUUCUACACAUUCCAUUAUUUUCAUAUUGCACCUAUAUAUAUAAGUAUCUAAAUAAGUACAUAUUUUCAUGAUUGACCUACUUAUAUACUCAUACAUUUUUAUUUUGUAAAUAUAUGCACGUAUACAUAUGUUUUUUUAUUUUUAUCUUCACAAUUUUCACAUACAUAUGUACAUGCAUAUUAUUAUAAGUUUUGUUUUGUAUAUUUCAUUCCCUUUUAUGUACACUUAUAUUUUUUAAAAUGUAUGCAUAUACAUGUUUUCAAAAUUCAUUUAUGCUUUAUACUUAUAUUUUGAAAACACAUAUAUACAUAUAAUUUAAAUUAAAAUAUUUGUAUCAUAUUGUACAUUACCUUUUUAACGUACCCUUUUUGAAAAUAUGUUUUGGUUUUAACCAUACAUCAAAGUUAUUUUCUCGCUCCAAAGGUUUUUUUUUUUGAAUAAAAGCAAUGUUCGAAGCUUGAGAUUUUCGAGGGAAAUUGAGCCCUAACGUAUUGGGUUCAGAUUUUCUUUGUUAAUCUUAAAUAACCGAGGAUAUUCUUUAUUCAAAAUGCAUGAGCAUAAAAAUCAUUUUUGGGAACUUAACUUGUCGUGCCCUAACGUAUUGGGUGUGGCAUGUUACUUUCUCGAAAUAAAUAUUUUCGCAUGAAAUAAAAGUGAUAUUCAAAGUUCGGGGAUUAUGAGGAAUUGUACCCUAACGUAUUGGGACUCGAUUUCUUUACAUGACUUGAACAAUUUGUUAUCCUUUUACAAAUUUCAUCAUUCAAGCUUAUUUUAAAAUCUUUUUAACUUUCGACACUAAGACAUUAAAUGAUCAAUUUGGUACCGAUUUUGGGCGUCACGAGGGUGCUAACCCUUCCUCGUGCGUAACCGACUCCCGAACUCGUUUUCUCAAAAUUCGUAGACCAAAAUAAUUUUUAAGGUGACCCGAUCACACCUUAAUAAAAGAUCGGUGGCGACUCCAGUUUUGUUUUAAAAGUCGACAACUAAAAUUUUUGUUUUUCAAAAAACGGUUUCGACAGCUUGGCGACUCCACUGGGGACACUAAAGAGUCGAGCCAUAAAUUGGUUAUUUGUUCGUCUUGUGAUCGAAAAUCAAAUUUGGGUUUUAAAAUCAUGAUUUCCCUUCAUUUUUUUUACCAUGGAAUGUUGGUAACCUUGCAUUUGCAUUUUGCAUUUUACCCUUAAGUGGGAGCGAGAAACUAGUCCUUCGUGAGGUUUUCACCUCCGUGCAGGGUAAUGGACCGCUUCCGGGAUACAUCCGUACCUAUGUCUUCGUGAGAUUUUCAUCUCCGUGUAGCCAUAGGGAAAUGUGUCCCCCUGAACCGAACUCGAUCCACAUGAGCCUAUAAUGGGUGAGGAUCGAGGAAUCUGCUGGUCGGGUACCUUUACUCUAGAAACUAAACCUCAUAUAGUGAGCUUUAGGAACUUACCUUAGGUAGAAGUACUCUAAACCUUAGGAGAUACCUGACUAGGAGUUUUUAUUAUUUCUUGCUUAUAUUGGAUUUAAUGUUUAUACCCGAUACUAACUCGUUGCAUUUUGUUUUGAUUGCAUGACAUCAUGAUCGCAUUGCAUUUUCAUCAUAAAAGAGGUGUUGAUUCACGUUCGGUUGUUAAUAGAGAGCUUGUCAUAAGGAAAUGGGUUUCUUGAUAAAAUAGAAAAUAAUACGGUUGCCCGAAUAUGUUCCGAGAAAACACAACAAGAGAAAGAUGAUAGUUUAAUGGAGGACUACAUAACCAUUGCUUCGUUGCCCGAAGACUCAAGCUGAUGAAGGCUAUUCGAGAGCCGCUGAACUUUUUGUUUAAGGGAAGCCAACGAGCAUCACGACGAUAAAGGAGCAACGAAGAACAGUCCGGAUCAAGUAAAAUGGAGAUAGAAGAGACAUCUAUUUUGAAGAAUUCACAAGAUUUAUCUUAGCAUCCAGAUGAAGAAGGAGAAGAUGUCCUCGCUUGGAGCAUGAGGGCAAAGCCGUAUAUAUAUAUCUGCUUUAUGUAAAGAAAUUUAUCUUCUAGAAAAGUUUUCUAAAUAGAAUUGAAUCAGAAUCAACGUCUCUUUUUGCAUUCAUCAAAUGCAUUUGCAUUACAUAGCAUCAUAUGCAUUAAAAUCCAUUGAAAGAGCCUAAUUAAUUAAAAUUAUUGCUUAGUUAACCUGGAAACCAACCAACCAACCCGACACCGAUACGGCACUCGAGCAAAGACAAAAGAUAUGGAUCAGAGAUUAGAGAAGCUCGAACAGUACCAGAAGGAGAUGCAAGACCGGCUUCAGCUACAAAUGCAGGAACGGUUAGACAAGAUGAAACAGGAGAUGUCUGAGAAGAUGCGGAAUCUCAAGAGGACAUAGUGGCAAAGUUAACCCGAUUGAUAACUAAAGGAGGUGAUAAAGGAAAGGGCCCCAUGGCAGAUGUCGAUGAGGGAAAUGAUGAUGAACUUUUCUAUCCUCCAGGUUUCAUCCCUCCACAUGAGCGAACUCAAGCUGAAUACCCGUGCAAAUCUACUGUCACCAUCAUGCCUCAGCAAUUUCGAGCUGGUAUUUCGAACCACCAAACUGGGCCGAGCUUUAAUCCUGAAAAUAAUCCUAUUAACUCUGCCAUUCCUGACUUUGAUGAAGUGGUUGAGAAGGAAAGAAUGAAGGAAAAGUUACCGAAACAGUUGGAAGAAAGAUACAGGUGGCUCGAAGAGAAGUUCAAGGCGAUGGAAGUCACUGAAAGUUAUCGAGGCAUUGACGCAAAAAAGCUGAGUUUAGUGCCAAAUUUAGUACUCUCUCAUAAAUUUAAGAUGCCUGAAUUUGAAAAGUACAAUGGGACAAGCUGCCCAGCAGCUCACAUCACCAUGUUCUACAGGCAAAUGGCUGGAUACGUUAACAAUGACCAACUAUUGAUACACUGUUUCUAAGAUAGCCUAGCAGGGGCAGCAUCUAAGUGGUACAAUCAGUUGAGUCGUGCCACGGUUGGUUCAUGGAGGGACUUGGCGCAAGCAUUCAUGAAACAAUAUAGUCAUGUGACAGAUAUGGCUCCUGAUAGAAUCACCCUUCAGAAUAUGGAGAAGAAGCCGAGCGAAAGCUUUAGGCAGUAUGCACAGAGAUGGAGGAAGGUCGCAGUCCAAGUUCAGCCACCACUCUUGGAAACGGAAAUGGCCAUGCUAUUCAUUAACACCCUAAAAGCACCUUUCAUCACACAUAUGUUAGGAAGUGCCACAAAAAGCUUUCCUGACAUAGUCAUGAAUGGUGAAAUGAUUGAGAGCGCUAUAAGGAGCGGGAAAAUUGAGACAGAUGAGAGUAAUAAGAGGUCAAUCUCAAGAAGAAGAGAAAAUGAGGUGGACAACACGGGUUACUCUAAAUCAGUUACUGUGAGUCAAACAAGAAAGGUGGUUGGUAAUCAACAGAAUUCAUCGAGGCAAGAUUCCGGCAUAAAGACUGAGAGGCCCCAAUUCACGCCAAUUCUGGUACCGUAUAAGGAACUGUAUCAAAAUUUGUUUGAUGCACAUGUUGUUUCCCCUUUUCAUGUGAAGCCUCUACAACCGCCGUAUCCUGAAUGGUAUGAUACGAACACACAAUGUGAAUAUCAUGCGGGAAUUACGGGACACUCGAUUGAGAAUUGCACUGCCUUCAAGAAGCAAGUUGAAAGACUUAUCAACAUGGGUAUUGUCAAGUUUGGUGACUCGUCCAGCGCAGGAAAUCCGCUACCCAAUCAUGAUUGAGGAUGGAGGGACUGCAAUAUAUGAAGAAGUGGUGAGAAAUUUGCACAUCGAUGCGGACACAAUUAAAAGGGUCCUUGUUAGAUAUUCGCCUUAGAGGUGUUCUAAAUAAUGGGACUGCAAAGGAAACCCCUAAAAUAUUUAGAGUCUGUUAGAGUAAUGUUAAGAACACACUUGUUGCUUUCAGCCUAGAAGCAAUAGGAGUUUCUUUGUGAAAUAGGCUCACGUCUGAACAUUAUUAUUUUAAUGAAAUACAUUAUUGCAAUCAUCUUUGAGCAAAUGUUCUUUCAUUCUUUACGAUUUCUUUAUUUUUUUUCCUUUCAGAUUUUUUCUGCCAAAUUAUUCGUUCAUUCGUUCAUAUUAUUCAUACAUUCUUUUGUAUAUUCUUUGGUACCCACUAUGGGUCCCCAAAUAUCAAUGACAUGAGUGACGCUGCUACAGACUCAAAUCGCCUUUUGAGUGAGACAUGUGUUUAGAGGGAUCUCAUGGCUUUGAAGAUGUCAUAAAUUGCAGCUUAUCUCCUAACUUGUUGAGGAUGGUAAAGCAAUAAGAGAAACAAAUGAGACAGCAGAGACUACGACCUUGAGAAAACAUGCAUGACCGAAGAAUAAAGCAAGACGUUGCUGAGUUACUUCAAGCAUCCAAAGAUGCCUUCGCAGGGUCAUACCAGAAUGUGCCCGGUUUAAGCGAGGUCAUUACAAUCUGAACAACAGCACGAUAUCAAAAGUUUGCAACAUGUUCAAGGUGAAUAUCAUGAAUGGUGCAAUGAAAACUCUACCGGGGCAAUGCCACUCUUUCCAGUUUAUCACGUUUUUUCAUUGAAGUUGAAAUUCUUUCUAUUCGAGUUUUGGCUGAGCUAAGGUAGGAUGAAGAUCCAAUCCCGAUACGAUUAGUUGAACUUAGUUGAAGAAAAAGGCUAGAAACUAUUCAUCAGGCUCAGAUGCACCAAGAAAUGAAUGAUGCGAGCCUAUAGCAAAAGGUUUGUCCCAGAGAAUUCCACGAUGGCAACCUAAUGCUAAAGAAGAUCCUCACUCUACAAAAAAAUAUAACGGAUGCCAAAUUGGGAAAAAAAUUAUGUUAUAGAGAAGGUCUUUUCCAAAGGAGUUUUGAUUUUGGGCGAGAUGGAUGAUAAACCUGCAAAGUCCUGUAAACUCAGGUUCAGUCAGGAAAUACUCCGCUUAAAGAAUGAGAUGACCAAGGUGAAAACCCACAAAGGGUGCUUUGAGUCCAAAAAAAUAAAAAUAAAAAAAGAGAAAAAGAGGAAAAUGGAGAGGCUAAGGUGAAAACCCGUAAAGGGCGCCUUAGACCAAAGGGGAUUUGAGUUGAAAACCCGAAAAGGGCGGCUCAAAUAUUGAUUAGAAUGGGGCACGAGAUUAUCGGAGUAGCUCAAAUACUGAUCAGAAUGGGGCAUGCAAUGGUCUUGCUAUACCUAAAUCAACAAGAAAUGGUAGGCGACAUCUUGGGGCAUCGACAAAGUAUUCCUAAACGCAUGUCAAACUCAGAAUGAUCUUCAGAAAGUCUGUACAGCAAAGUUCAAGCUGCGAUAUUUGGGGCACCUAAUUCUUAUAUUAUUUUUUGUUAUUCUUGGAACACUUCAUUCAUUUCCAAAAUACGCAUUCCUAAAUCAAUUUCUUUAUUAUCCAUCUUUAUUAUAUUUGACAAUUUAUUCAUUUCGAGCUUUGCUCAGAACCAACUCUAUUCUUAUCCAUGGUCUUUUUGCAAGCAUGUUUCAUUAGAAUAAUGAUUCAUAGACUAAUAAAACUUUCACAAGGGAAGUUUUGCAUAUUACUCUAGAAGUUUCUAAAUAAUAUAGGAUCCUCAAACAGGACUAUUGUUUAGAAUGCACUAGGUUGGAAAUCUGAUAAGGAAAAGUCUAAAUUAAGACUAUCCCUUUGAAUUUUCUUGUCUAAAGUAUUAAUUGAACAAAAUGGCAAGAUGUCGUGUUGGUGACAAAGCUUCAAUGAACAAGCAAGCAAUGAUCACCGGAUAAUAAUAAGAAGUUGUUCUUGGAGAAGAUUACUUUAUUUGUGCAUGAGCAUUUGGUACAACACCCUGGGAAUGGUGUAAGAGACCAAAGAGUUUCACAUCCUUGAAUUGUGAUAGUGGAGGAUUAAGAAAAGGCCAAAACUUUUUACUCUCGGGUUACAACGGGAGGAAGAUGGUACAAAUUUUCGCAUACCAUUGAAUCAAACUUGGAGGUUUACAGUGGGGGCAACCUGGUCAAGUGUUUCUUUGGAGACGCCAGCCGAGCAAAAGGUGCUAUAGCACAUUAGCGAUGAAACUUUAAAUAAACUUUGAGUAAUGAUAACCUAAGUGAAAAUGAGGGAUCAUUCUCGAAAAAAUGACAUUCUGCAUUCAUUCAAAUGUCAUUCAUACACGCCUAGUUAGGAGCAUUUGAUUCAUUUGAUCAUGACAUCCUAAUCAUUAGGCAUAGUUAGGUUCAUAAAGUGAAUUAUACAGGUCAUGUUCCCUAGAGAACAGAUCGGUGAAAUCAUAAAGCCUUAUCUCCCUGAACAAUAGUGGAGCAGGUUGAAAAGCAGCAGGUCUUGUCUUCCUAUAUUGGUAGCGAAGUGGAUCGAAUAUACAGAUCUCGCCUUCCCAUACUGGUGGCGAAGCAGAUCGAAGGAAAAAACAGAUCUUGUCUUAUGGCGUGAAGUAGAUCAAAGAUAACAGAUCUCGCCUUCCCAUACUGGUGGCGAAGCAGAUCGAAGGAAUACAGAUCUUGUCUUCAUGUACUAGCGUGAAGUAGAUCGAAUAUACAGAGCUCGCCUUCUCAUACUGGUGGCGAAGCAGAUCGAAAGAAAGUAGAUAUUGUCUUCAUGUAUCAGCGUGAAGUAGAUCAAAGUCAACAGAUCUUGUCUCCCCAUACUGGUGGUGGAGUAGAUCAAAGAAAGUAGAUCUUGUCUUCAUGUAUCGGCAUGAAGUAGAUCAAAGUCAACAGAUCUUGUCUCCCUAUACUGGUGGUGGAGUAGAUCAAAGAAAGCAGAUCUUGUCUUCAUGUACUGCAUGAAGUAGAUCAAAGAAACAAAUAUUGUCUCCCCAUACUGGUGGUGGAGUAGGUCGAAGAAAACAGAUCGUGUCUUCAUGUACUGGCGUGAAGUAGAUCAAAGAUAGUAGGUCCCGUCUUCCUAUAUUGGUAGCGAAGUGGAUCGAAUAUACAUCUUCCCAUACCGGUGGCAAAGUAGAUUGAAGAUUACAGAUUUUGCCUCCCUAAGCAGUAGUGGAGCAGAUCGAAGAUGGCGGAUUUUACCUCCCUGAAGUUGCAGUGGAGUAUAUUGAAGCCAGUAAUUCUACCUCCCCGGUCGGCAGUGGAAUCGAUUGAAAAAGCAGAUCUUGUCUUCAUGUAUUGGCGUGAAGUAGAUCGAAGAAAGUAGAUCGAAGAAAGCAUAUCUUGUCUUCCCAUACUGGUGGUGAAGUAGAUCGAAGAUACAAGUCUUAUCUCCCUGAAGUUGCAGUGGAGCAGACUGAAGUAACCAAUCCUAUCUCAUUGAAGUUGCAAUGGAGUUGAUUAAAACCGCAGAUCUCAUCUCUCUGAAGUUGCAGUGGAGCAGAUCGCGCCAGAUUUAUCUUUAAGUUGCAGCAGACCAAAUUGAAACUAUAAGUCUUGUCUCCCUGAAGUUGUAGUGGAGCAGAUUAAAGAUAGCAAAUUUAGUUCUUUUGAGAAGCUACAAUGUAUGAAUCCUAUCUCUUCGACAUUACAGUAGGAGUGGAUUGAAGCACCAGUUCCUAUACCUCUGGAGAUGUAGUGGGAAGGAACGAGGCUACUAACGCUAAGGUCCAUAUGGCCGGGCAAAAAUUGGUCUUUUUAAGUCAUUGCUCUAUUCUCGUCACACGAUAACGAGCAAAGAGGGGCAGCUGUAAUACCAAUUUUUUCUGCCCGGGCCUAUACAAAAUAAAAUACAGCAGGCCCAUCUACAGACCAAACCCAUAUUCAAAAAAAACCUAGCCUAAGAAGCAGCAAGCUUCAGCCGCAUGCCCAACAGCAGCCUCCCUAACUGCCGUCGCAUCCUCCGCGCACGUACACCUCUUCCACGGCCUCCAUACCUACGAGAAAAGCGGAUCCAAACAGCAAUAGACGCAACAAAUAAUGAAAUAGGAUUUUUUACUUUUAUUUUGCUGUAAUUUUGGCUAUAAAAAGCCAUCAAAAAUCUGUAAAAUGGGGGGAACCAAUAUUGUAUUGAGAGAAUACUGAAAUACAAAAAUAGGGAGAAAAUAUUGAGAUUACAAAGAGAUUUUUGAAGGUGAAUCGUGUUUAUUUUUUUCCAUUUUUUCCAUUCUUUUUUAUUUUAUUUUUUAUUUAUUUUUAAUUUAAAAUAUAAAGAAGGGAGGAAGGACUUACCUCUCUCGCCGGAUUCGUCGAGUCGGCGCUAUCUCCGUCACAGUCGGAGCCUUGGCGCGAGGCUGAGCGACGGCGUUCGAGGGUUGAGGAAACCCUAAAAGGGUCUGGUUUCUCCUCUGGAAAGGGAAACCCAAAAGAACAAAUAAAUG
rnacentral:lncRNA from 1 species